GUCCUACGCGUAAUUCUCCCUUCAGCGUUUGGUUGUUGUUGGCUUUGUGGUGUGAUGGAGCAAGAGCAAGACUUGGAAUAUUCCCAGAGCCUAGCUGCUGGUGGUUUCCCCGAACCUUCACCGUUUUUGUGCAUCACAGCUGGUUUCCUCUUUCUCCUUUUGCUUACUCACCACUUGCAAUAAAAUAUUUUGGGUCAUUUUCCUUUCUUUAUUCAAGUCUCUGUUCUCAUUUUCUUCAAGUAUUUCGGGUCUUUUCUGCUCAUAUAUCCAACAUCGUCUUCCUUUUAUUUCGCUUCUCUUUUACUCCUUGUUGAAGCAUAAUUGUGGUUGAGACUCUACUCCGCUAUAUAUGUUGAACGUUGUUGCUAUUAACCCGACCAUCUUCGUUCAAAAUUUGGGGUUUUCUUGUUGAAGCUUCAAGGAUUCAAAUUCACACUUCAAUCUUUGUCCCAUCAGCUCUUUAAGAUAAAGUUUAGAGUUGAUUGUUAAGAGAGAGAAUAUAAAUUUAAUAUUUUUUAUGCAACUGAUUAAAUUUUUGCGUGCUGAUUCCAAUUAAGAUUGAUGUUUGGAGAAGGGUUUGAAUGUCUGUUCAAUCAUCAUAUCAAUAGUGCACGGCAAGUGUAUGUUAAAAUGUUCGAAAGAGACUAACUUGUAGUUAGGAAUGAUGGGUAUCAUUGGUGGAUGCAAUUCUUACUUGGCCUUAACUUGCAUGAAACAUAUGGUGUGGAAUGACUUAUAAGUGUACACUCUUUAUUAAGAUCCCCAAAAUGAUGUUUUCAAUGAGGGUUGCUAGAUUAAUAUCAAGAGUUGGCUUAUGGAAUGAGUAAUUCAGUCAAAAAGUAAUGAGAUUAAGAACUUAUCAAGAUGAUCGUUGGCAAGUGGUGAAAUGGAAGCUAAAAUAAUUACCAAGAAUAAGUAUUUCUUAGGGGCAAAUUGAGAUUCUACAUAUAUAGUAGCGUGAUCCUAUUGUGCUAUUUUUGGGAUGCAAUUAAUGAUCGUGUUUGAAUGCAUAAUUAUUAGAAUGUUGGAUGAUUAGAUAUAAAGUGCAUGAAUGAACAUGAUUUAUAAUUAUGCAAGAUAAGUUGAUAUUCAUGAAAAUGGUCUUUACUUGCAUUUAAUUUACAUAACACUUAUCCCUUUGUUAAUUUCCAAUCAUUAAAGCAGUAUUUUCUUAUUUUUAAUAGAAUUCUAAGAUUUUAUUUCUGUUCAAAAAGAAUAAAAAUAAGGGGAAAGCAUAAGGAAUUAAUUUCUCUAAUUACUUAUUAGGUAUUGAGCUUGAUUAGGGGGGGGGAAUAACUUUUGUGGCAAAUUAAAGUCUUAGUUAAAUGAGUAUGGUUAGUUUCAAGUGUAUUUAAAUGUCAAGUUAUGAUAAUUGGCAUCCUAAAUAUUUUAGGAACCUUUGGCAACAUCUAUAUCUGAAAUAUGGUCAGGAAAUGGUAGUGAAUAUUAUUAAAGCUUGAUUCAUUGGUAAGUAAAUAAUGCCUUAUAGUAAUUUUUAUAAGUGGUAUUUUGAUAGACUUGUAAUUUAGUUAAACCAUCUCCUUCAUAAUGUGAUUUUUUGGUCAAAUUUUGUUAUCAUUUCAGCUUAUCAUUGAUAUUUAAAAUAUUUGGUGUUUUAGAAUAACAUAUCAUAAAAUUGUCUUUAACAAACUAAAAAUUGCAUUCAGUCUGUUUAUGCAUUAUUCAUUCAUCCAUUCGUGAUUAAAUUACAGAGUAAUGUACAUAUGUGGAAUUAUUGAGAAUAUUUUUCAAACAUUAUUUGAGUUUCAGUAUUGGGAAAGUCCUAUAUUUUGAGGAUGUUCAAAUAACGUGCAUGUUUAAAAGUGUUAUCAAAGGAUUGAAUGCAAAAUGUUAGUUGCUGAUUCUUGUUCCAGUAGCCCUUGGAAUGCCUAUGGUUCAUAGAGCCAUCAAUUAGGGCUGAGCUUGUCGGACUGGCCCUUUUAAGCCCGAAAAAAUCUAUGGCCGGGCCACUACUUUAAAUUGCAAAAUGAUAAUUUGGACUUAAAAGGUUUUAAGCCCUAAAAUAAAAAGGCUAGUCCUUUAGGGCUAGGGCCAGCCCUUUUAAUUUUUUUUAAUUUUAAUAUUAAAAAAUUGAAAAAAAUUAAAUACUAUAGUAAUUCUAAAACCCUAACUUCAUUUCACGUGAAUGAAGAAGGAAUAUAUAAAAAUUUUAAUAUCUUUGCUAUUAUUGAGGCUCCACAAAGAGAAGGGUUGAAUUAUAUUGAUAUUGAUAAAAAUGAAAAUCAUUAAGAAUUUGCUGAUAAUGCUAGCAAAGUCUGGCUGUUAUUGGUGUUGAUUUUGUGAUUUUUUUAUUAAACUUUAAUUUGUUAUUGUGUGUAUUGGCUUUGUUUUUAUAGACUUAAUGUUACAUGUAAUAACUUCUUUGGGAUUUUAAAUAUGUUUUUUUAAUUUUUAAAUUAAAAAAAUAUAGGGCCGAGGCUCUGAGGGCCAGGACCGACUGGCCAAAAUGAAGCCUUGAGAUAUAAUUAGGCUUUAUAAGGCCAACCUGUUAAGGGCCAGGGUUGGCCCUAAUUGACACCUUUAAUGGUUGAUACCCAGCCGAGUGGUGCAUAGGAAAUGUUAGCCCUACAUGACAGCGAACUCAUGUGGAAUAGAAGUAUGGAUUUCAUGAGCAUAGUUCUCGCUUAAUUUUUGUGAACCUCGUACUCACUAUUGUGAUGUCUAAGGAAUUGGUUUGAAGAAAAAAUAUUGAUUUCAUAUUUCAAUUUCUAUAAAGCUGCUUGAAGUUUUUACGUGAUGUUGAAUAUACAUGAUUUUAACUUUCUGCUUUUUUUUUUUUGUAAAUGAAUUCUUGAUAUUCAUACAUGGAUUAAGAUAAAUUUGGAGUAAGCUUUAUGUGAAUUAAAGUCGAGUUACUAUUGCUUCCUUUAAUAUUGCUUUGCUUGGACUGUUGUAAACGUUUUGAGACAUCCUUUUCAAGUGAUGCUUUAUGGAAAUUUUUUUAUAAGAAACGGUACUGAGUAAAUCCUAUGGCCAAUUAUUAAUUUAAAUAAUUUCUAUUCUUAUUUACAAUAGUACUGGUUGUAUCUUUGUGUUCUGUGAGAAGACACUGUUCUCGUUUGGAUGUUUUCAAAUUUGAGUCCACCCACUGCUCCAUUCUCCGUGUUCAUAUCUUUACCUAACGAUCGAUUCAUCUGGAGAAAAGCAAUUGCAGCCUCUAUCUUUCUUCUUGUUCGUUCCCAUUGCUUUAUUGUGCUUCAUAGCUGCUUUUUUUUCGGAUACUUCAUUUUUCACAGUAAGUAAAUCCAUUCAUGCCUAUAUCACCACUUCCCUCUUCCAUAGGGUAUAUCAUCAGUACUCUUUAGUCUCCACAGCUUUUCGUGGUAAAUUAAUUUUGAUAUCAUUGUUUCUGUCUUCCAGUACAAGCCAUAGUCAUAAUGACAGGGCGAGUCAACUUCAUCCUUCCACUAUCAAUGGACAUAUGAUGUUUUUAUCAAUUUUAGAGGUAAAGAUACUCGCUAUGGAUUCACAGGAAGUCUAUAUCAUGCUCUGACUGAAAAGGGAAUUUGCACCUUCUUUGAUGAUGAGGAACUAAGAAAAGGGGAUGGCAUUGCACCUACACCUCUUCAAGCAAUCCAAGAAUCUAGGAUAGCCAUUACUGUGUUUUCUCAGAACUAUGCUUCCUCGACAUUUUUCCUCAACGAACUUGUUCACAUUUAUCAAUAUAUUUAGCAAGAAGGUCGGCUGGUUUUGCCAAUUUUUUAUGAUGUGGAGCCUUCAGAAGUGUGACAUCAGAAAGGGAACUAUGAACAAGCAUUGGCUAUGCAUAGAAUUAAUUUAAGGGCCAGUGAUGAGACAAUACAAAGGUGGAAGUUGGCACUAAAUGAAAUAGCUAAUAUUUCUGGGGUGCAUACCAGACCAAGUGAUAAGAAUGCUUAUGAAUAUGAGAUCAUUGAAACGAUUGUGAAGGAGAUCUCUAACAAAAGCAAUAGGGUUCCUUUACACAUUGCUGAAUAUCCAGUUGGAUUAGAUUCUCAACUACAAAAAAUAAAAUCUCUAUUGGAGCUUGGAUCAAAUGAUAAGGUUAUCAUGGUAGGGAUUUUUGGAAUUGGAGGACUAGGUAAAACAACAAUAGCACAUGCUCUAUACAACGCCAUUGCUGAUAGUUUUGAAGGUUUGUGUUUUCUUCAUGAUAUCAAAGAUAAGUCUAGGAAACUUAGCCUAGAAGAAAUGCAAACGAGAAUGCUCUUAGAAAUUUUAGUGGUGGAGAUAAAAAUUGAUGUUAACCAAGGAGUCACAAGAAUGAAACAAAGACCCAAACGAAAGCACAUUUUGUUAAUUCUUGAUGAUGUUGACAAACAAGAGCAUCUACAAAAGCUUGCUGGUAAUUGUGAUUGGUUUGGUCUUGGGAGUAGGAUCAUUAUAACAAGAAGGGAGACGCAAUUACUAAAUAGACAUGGGGUUGAAAGGAAUUAUGACAUGGAGGUAUUCAAUGAUGAGGAAUCUCUUGAACUUCUACGUUGGAAUGCCUUUAGAAAUAAGCAAGUUGAUCCCUGCUACAAGGAUGUUGUAAAUCGUGUGAUAUGUUAUGCCCAAGGUCUUCUUUUAGCCCUUGAAGUGAUAGGCUCUCACUUGUUUGGUAUGAGAGUAAGGGAGUGGGAAUCUGCAUUGGAUGUAUAUAAACAGAUUCCUGAGAGUGAUAUUCAACAAAUAUUGAAACUAAGUUAUGAUGGCCUAAAUGAAGCAGAAAGAGAAAUUUUCCUUGACAUUGCUUGUUUUUUUCAAAGGAGAUGAAUUGGAAUAUGCCAUAAAUAUUGUGGAGCAGGCUCAUGGUUUUGAUCCAGGAUAUGGUAUUGAAGUGUUGAUCAACAAAUGCCUCAUCAACAUUCACAAAAAUGGUGUUUAUAUUGAAAUGCAUGAUUUAAUACAAGAUAUGGGGAGAGAAAUUGUUCAUCAAGAAUUACCAAAUGAGCCAGGAAAACGUAGUAGAUUAUGGUCCCUUCAAGAUAUUGUUGAUAUUUUGGCAAAAAAAAAAAAAUGAUAUUGUUGAUAUGCUGGAAGAAUAUGCAGUAAGUCACACUCAUUGGGAUGCCCCUCCCAACCUUGGUACAAAUGAAGUUAUUAUAAUAAUUGCAAACAAUUUGUCCGGGUGGAUGGACGUAAAUUGGGAUGGAAAAGCUUUCAAGAAUGAGAAAUCUCAAAAUUCUUAUUUUUGAGAAUUUGAAAUUUUCCAAAGGCCCUGAAUAUCUUCCUAACAGCUUGAGAGUGUUGAAAUGGCCGGGAUAUCCUUCAUCACGCUUGCCCCUCAGUUUUUGUCCGAAGAAGCUUGUUGUAUUUGAUCUGGGUCAUAGUUGUAUCAGUUCAAUGGAAAUAAGGGGAGCACCCCCCAUGUUAUAUGCAUUUGUUUGGUUAUAAGGUAGCUUCUAUUUGAUCAUU